AGUAAGAGGGGAUCUUGAAACCUAAAGUUUUUGGCGGUUUUUUAGUCUGUUCAGAGGAACCUGUCCUUUAAUCGAUGGUCCACGUUGUUUUUAACCUUCUUUUUAAAUAUCGCCGUCUAUGACAGGUCAAGAUUUAGCUUAUAGGAAGGAGUGAUAUUGGAUUUGAGAGUUUAUGAAAAUAUUUUGAGCUCUAAAGAAUGU
rnacentral:rRNA from 1 species